rnacentral:tRNA from 1 species
GGGGAGGUAAGUUAAUCUUUGAAACUGCAUGGCUCAUGCCCAUGUAAUACAUUUUUGUUCUCCCCU